GUUUUCGUAGUGUAGUGGUUAUCACGUUUGCCUCACACGCGAAAGGCUCCCGGUUCGAACCCGGGCGAAAACA
rnacentral:tRNA from 1 species